UCAUUUCUUUUCUCUCACAAUCUUCUUCAAUGCUCUCUUCUCUUUCUUUCUCUGAGUUUGUGCUGAGUUAUGUGACUGCAAGAUGUCACAGAGAGCACAGUCUUUUCUUCACUUUUCUUUUUAUUUUUCUUUUCAGAACACUUUUUUUUUCUCUUUUCUUUUAUCUAUCUCAUCUGUCUUUUCUCUACUGUUAGAAGCACAGACAGUUCUUGAAUCAACUGAGAGAAUUAUCUCUCUUCAUUCACUAUAAAGCCUUUCAGACACAGCAGCAGCAGUUCUCUCAGAAACCAUACUAUAAUCCCACC
rnacentral:sRNA from 1 species